ensembl:lncRNA
GGACAUGCAGCCAGGCCCAGUGAGUGGGGACCCCAGGGAGGACACGCAGCCAGGCCCAAUGAGUGGGGACCCCCAGGGAGGACACGCAGCCAGGCCCAGCGAGUGGGGGUCCCCAGGGAGGACACGCAGCCAGGCCCAAUGAGUGGGGACCCCAGGGAGGACACGCAGCCGGGCCCAGCGAGUGGGGACCCCCAGGGAGGACACGCAGCCAGGCCCAGCAAGUGGGGUGGCAGAGGUCUGGAGCUGGGAGAACUGUCGCCUGGAGCAGCCGGCCAGUGAGUGGAGGCCGGACUUCAGCCAGCCUGGGAGCCAGGGAUGGACGGGGGCCAGGCCUUUCCACGAGGUGCAGCCUGGGCAGAGGGAAAGCGCCUAGCGGCGUGGGCUUGGGGAUGGCGGCACAAACCAGGGGGCAGGGCUGAGAGGGACGGGGCCAGUCUCAGGGACCCCUGGAUCUGAGGGGUGGGGGGUCCCUGGUGACUUAGCAGCAGCUUCCCUGGCGGAGGAGGGCACAGCCCACGGGCUGGUUCAGUUGGUGGAAAGGGCAUCUCGGGCAGGGUGGGGACAAGCUCAAAUGAAGAGUCGACUGGGCAACAGGAGAUGCGCCAGCUGGACGCAGAGCAAACGUAGAAGCAGAUAAACCGAGUGGAGGGAGAGGCAGAACUGGGUCCGAGGCCCCAGAUGCUCACAGGGCGGCCACCGCACAGUCUGUUAGUUACAAGGUGAGCACACUUGGCCCCUGUGCGCACGGACACAGAUGAGGAACCAGCUCCGCGUGACCACCGGGAGGGGUCAAGAUCAGAGAAGAGUUGGGUUUGUAGAGCGAAGGGGGUGGAAGAGCACUUCCGACGGGACUGGACAGGACGGGGCUGCACAGCCUGGAGGCAGAGCAGGAGAGGCUGCAGGUGGGGGUGUCUUCCCCAUAGACCGAGGGAGGAGACAGGCAUCCGCUCAGAGGCGGCCUGGGGGGGCCUUGAGAGGUCCGUGAAGUCGGGGUGAAGACCAUCUGCUUAAAUGCACGAAGUCAGACGCAGGAGUUUGGGGAAUUUUGUCCCCACACCCACGGGACAGCCCAGGCAGGACACACAUGUAGUCCCCGAGCUGCUCUCUGCCUGCGUCUCCGGCCGCCUCACCCACCACUGCCUCCCCGCCCCCAGCUGGGCCCAGGCACAUAUACACCUCUGCACUUCUCACCCGCCAAGUGCUUCGUGUCCACAGCUGCGCCCGUGCCUGUCCCCUCCAGCGCCACCCCUGCCCUCGGUCCUCUCCGCCUGGCUUGUCCCUGCUCACUCUCUCAGGCGUAGUUCCACACACAGCCAUCACGGACCCGCUCUGGCCCGCGGCACCUCCUCCUUCCUGCCCAGGCCCGGGGCCCAGAGCUGUGACAGCGCUCGUCAUGCCCGGGCUGUCACUCACCCCUUCCACCAGGGGCUCCUGCGGGGCAGAGACAUGCUCGGCAGACGUGUCCCCAGUGUGUGAACAAAGGCAAAGGCCAGCCCAGCCUCUGCUCCGUCACUGAAGCCAGGACCAGCCACCUUCGGCCGCCACCCUGAGCUCCCUCACCCCAGGGCUGGGGAGGGGGGCCUUGUCCUCAGUGGCAGGGGAGGAGGACGUGGAGGGGAGGAGGACUCCCCCCUUCAGGGAGGAGCAGCCCACGGGCACUGGCAGGGGAGUGGGCAGGGGUGGAGGAGGGCAGAGGAGCUCUUGUUCCAGGCCGGGGAGCCCCUUGUCCCGUCACAGCCCCCUGCCUCCCUCGCAGGACACAGCCCCGAGCACCGAGCGCCAUGAGUCACGUCAUGCCCGUGCUUCACCGGCUCUGAAGCUGCCGCUCUGUGCGGCCCGUGGACAGCAGCGCUGGGUCCUCCCAGACCCGCCGACUUGACUCUGCCUCCAAGUGGCAGGCGUCUGCUGCACAACGACGUCUGAGCAGUGUGGCUCUGAGGGUCCGGUGAGAGGCGCCAAGAGCUCGGGCUGAGACUCAGGAGGCAUGGAAAUGCGCCCGCCACAGCAGGGGCCUCCGCCUGCGCUCUGAGGGCCCUGCUCCCCAGCUGCGGCCACAGGGCACGCCCGCAGAAAAGCUGAAGCCAAGGCAUACUCCAGGGUGACACGUGUGCCUAGAAAGACUGUCCCCUGAGUGCCCUGCCUGAAAAAAUUCCCCCAAGGUGUUCUUCAAAUCAGACAGAAGCAGCAAAAUCAAGAACUCAAGAACGGGGAAGAGGGCACAGAAGCCCCGGUCAGUUAAACACACAAAAACAUGGAAAAAGGCU